rnacentral:rRNA from 1 species
CAGUAGCCGCGGUAAGACAGAGGAUGCAAGCGUUAUCCGGAAUGAUUGGGCGUAAAGGGCUCGCAGGCGGUUUCUUAAGUCUGAUGUGAAAGCCCCCGGCUCAACCGGGGAGGGUCAUUGGAAACUGGGAAACUCGAGUGCAGAAGAGGAGAGUGGAAUUCCACGUGUAGCGGUGAAAUGCGUAGAGAUGUGGAGGAACACCAGUGGCGAAGGCGACUCUCUGGUCUGUAACUGACGCUGAGGAGCGAAAGCGUGGGGGGCGAACAGGAUUAGAUACCCCCGUAGUCCCUGUCUCUUAUAC